rnacentral:rRNA from 1 species
ACGUCGCCGCCCGGUGGAUGCCUCGGCUCGGGCGCCGAGGAAGGGCGUGGCAAGCUGCGAUAAGCCCGGGGUAGGCGCAGGCGGCCGUCGAACCCGGGAUCCCCGAAUGGGACUUCCUACCGCGGGGAUAACCCGCGGUGCCCCGUAAGGGGCGGGAACCCCCCGAACGGAAGCAUCUUAGUAGGGGGAGGAGAAGAAACCAAAAUGGGAUCCCCUGAGUAGGGGCGACCGAAAGGGGGAGAGCCUAAACCAAUUCCCCACGGGACAACCGUGGGGAGAUGAGGGGUUAAGGCUCCACGACUGAGGGCUCGACCCUCAGCGGGCCGACCCACGGUAGCCGAAGUGAGCUGGAACGCUCCGCCGUAGAGGGUGAUAGACUGGGGCGACGCGGUUAACUUAUUGAAUUCAUUCAAUGGAAUUGAAAAAAUUUAUGCUUUUAUUACCGCGUCCCCCAGGUCAAACCCCGUAGGCGAAACCGUGGGGGCUUGCGUCGUGGAGCAGAGUACCACGGCUUGGUUUUGCCGUGGGAAGUUGGGGGGAACCGACCUCCAAGGCUAAAUACGUCCCGAGACCGAUAGCGAACUGAGUACCGUGAGGGAAAGGUGAAAAGAACCCCAGGUCGGGGGGUGAAAAGAGCCUGAAACCGGGCGGCUACACAGGGUGCGGCCCUUAAGGGAUGAAGGCCUCGAAGGAAACCCGGGCGACCGGGGAGUACGAGAGGUCCUAACCGGGGUCGCACCUUCCGUCUUGAAACACGGGCCGGGGAGUGCACGGCCGUGGCGAGCCUAAGGGGUUCAACCCCGAAGGCGUAGGGAAACCGACAAGCCCGCAGCCGCUUUCAAGCGGCGAGGGGCGGGGUCCGAAUAGGGCCCGGAGUCACGACCGUGCGACCAGAAACCGGGCGAUCUAGGCGGGGGCAGGGCGAAGCCGGGGGAAACCCCGGUGGAGGCCCGCAAGGGUUCUGACGUGCAAAUCGUUCCCAUGACCUCCGCCUAGGGGUGAAAGGCCAAUCUAGCCCGGUGAUAGCUGGUUCCCGCCGAAGUGGCUCGCAGGCCAGCCCCGCCGGAGGUGGGCUGUGGGGUAGAGCUACUGAUUGGACGUGCAGGGGGCGGAAGCCCCCGGCGUCCAGUCAAACUCCGAACCUGCAGCCACCUUAGAUGGCGGGAGUGGGGCUCCCCGGGGUAAGCCUGGGGGCCGAGAGGGGAACAACCCAGACCGGGGUUAAGGCCCCAAAGUGCCGGUUAAGUGCCAAGCUGAAAGGGCGUCCCCCGCCUAAGACAGCGGGGAGGUGGGCCUAACAGCAGCCAUCCUCUAAGGAGUGCGUAACAGCUCACCCGCCGAGGCGGGGGGCCCCGAAGAUUGGUCGGGGCUUAAACCGGCCGCCGAGACCCCGGACCCCACCUCCCAUGGAGGUGGGUGUGGUAGGCGGGCGUCGGGAUGGCGUAGAAGCCGGGCCGUGAGGUCCGGUGGAGCCGUCCCGAGUGCGGAUCCCGGCGGUAGUAACAGCGAAGCGGGGUGAGAAUCCCCGCCGCCGGAAAGGGCUAGGGUUUCCCGGCAAUGGUCGUCAGCCGGGAGUUAGCCGGUCCUAACCGGGACCGCAACUCGGAUCCCGGGAAAGGGAAACAGGUUAAUAUUCCUGUGCCGCGGGGGUACGCUUCGCGGUAACGCAAAGCCCAGCCUCCAACGCCUCGGGGUAGGCGGACCAGGGGCCCCCAUGCGGGGGCGACCUGGCUAACCACCCUAAGGCCCUGGAGUGCCGUAAUGGCGAGAAGGGGCUGAAGGGGGGAAUGGCCCGCGUAUGCGGGUUCCGCCGACCCCCGGGGCCCAUGAAAAGGGGGCUGGGAAGGAUCCCCCGCGCCCGUACCGAGAACCGACACAGGUGCCCCUGGGUGAACAGCCCAAGGCGUCUGGGGGCUAACCCGGGCCAGGAGGGAAGGGCGGGUUUUAUAAUUCUAACAAGUCUGCCCUCCCUCCCCCGUAAGGGAACUCGGCAAAUUGGCCCCGUACGUUCGCAAGAAGGGGUGCCUGCGGUUCUAGGGUCACCCCUGGGACCGCAGGUCGCAGUGACUAGGGGGACCUGACUGUUUAACAAAAACAUAGCUCCCCGCAAGCCCGAAAGGGUUUGCACGGGGGGUGAGCUCUGGCCACUGGCGGUCCGUGAAACCGGGGUUCAACCCGGCGAAGCGCCGCUGAAGGCCGGGAGUAACCCUGACUCUCUUAAGGUAGCCAAAUGCCUUGCCGGGUAUGGUGGGUGUCCCGCGGUCGGUAUUAUGGAGGAUAUUGGGUACUUAAUUGGCGCUAUUGAGUAGACACGGGACCCCACCCCCGAAAGUUCCGGCGCGCAUGAACGAGUUAACGAGGUCCCCACUGUCCCGGCCCGGGGCCCCGUGAACCCCCUGAGUGGGUGCACAGUCCCACAACCCCCCGCAGGGAGAGAAGACCCCGUGGAGCUUUACCGCAGCCCGGCGCUGGCUCCUGGGUGGGGGUGCGUAGCGUAGGUGGGAGCCUGUGAAGGGCCCUCUCCGGGGGGCCUUGAGGCGUCAAUGAAACACCACCCACUCCCGCCUGGGAGCCUAACCCCUCCCUCGUGGAGGGGGACAGCGUCGGGUGGGCGGUUCGGCUGGGGCGGCACGCCCGCGAAAAGAUAACACGGGCGCCCAAAGGUGGGCUCAGGCGGGUCAGAAAUCCGCCGUAGAGUGCAAGGGCAAAAGCCCGCCUGACCGGACCCUUGAACGCAAGGGGUCCGGCCGGGAAACCGAGGCCUAGCGCACGCUCGUGCCCCCCUCGGUGGGGGCCGGGCACGACAGAAAAGUUACCCCGGGGAUAACAGCGUCGUCGCGGGCGAGAGCCCCCAUCGACCCCGCGGUUUGCGACAUCGAUGUCGGCUCUUCCCAUCCUAGGGGUGCAGCAGCCCCUAAGGGCAGGGCUGCCCGCCCGUUAAAGGGGAACGUGAGCUGGGUUCAGACGUUGGCGAGGCGGGGGGUUAAUGCAUUUAUGCUUCAUGUUGCGAUGUCUUUCAUAUUUUAGUGGGUAUGUAUGGAGCUUUGGUUUCAAGUUGCUAUCGGAUGCAUUCUUGGAGAUGGGAGGUUAGAUAGGCUAGCACCUGGUAACUCUAGAUUACUAGUGCGUCGUAGUAUCUCAGCUUGUAAGAUUAUUCUAUGAAUGCCUGCUCUCAUCAAUGCAUUAUAAACUUGGAAUUAAACCCCGCCUCCCAACGGAACAAACCGUCGUGAGACAGGUCGGUCUCUACCCGCGGGGGGUGUUGGCCGCCUGAGGGGAACGUGCCCUUAGU